ACACACAGGUUUUCCUGUUUCUUUGGGUCUUCAUUUCUGAAGGCUCCCAUGUCAUAUAAAACUUAUAUUAAAUACAUUUGUAUUUUUUUCUUGUUAAUUUGUCUUUCAUUAUAGGUGCCUCAGCCAUCAAUGGGUGAAGAAAGAAAUCUUUCCUCCCCUAUAGUUUCUGGUACCCAUUGAAGGACAGCUGAGACACCCGACUUACUCUGGAGCUAGCAGAUGAAACCCUGGGACAACUGACAAAAGCCAGCAAAAGAUAAGGAUUCUUAUCAAGGACACAAUCAGAAAUGCUGCUUAUUUUAUCAAGGUUUUGACUGGAAUGACAUAUUUUCAGAUAUGUCCAGACUGCUUUGAAGAAUUGAGGUUGACUUUAUUGAACUGAUGAAAAGCCCUUUGGAAAGGCUGACCUGGUACUUUAUCUACAUGGUUCCUUUUCAAUGUUUCUGACCUUGUGAUAUUAAUUAACGAAGAACAUAUUGCGUGCCAGGAAAUACUCUACAUGUUGGAGACAUAUCAAAAAGUCCAUAUAUUCUGGGAAUGCUUUACUAGCACUAUUGCAUUUUAUUAUACAAUCACCUUUGUUAGGAGCUGAAUUGUGUCUCCCUAACCCAUUAAUAUGCUGAAGUCCUAACCCCUACUACCUCAGAAUGUCACUAUACUUGAAAAUAGGAUUUUUGAGGGGGUGAUUAUGGUUAAAUGAGGUCAUAGGAACACCAAUCCAAUAUGACUGGUGUUGUUAUAAGGAGAGGAGAGAUGAGGCCACCGAACACGCAGAGGGAAGACCAUGUAAAGAAGACUCAGAGAGAAGACAGCUGUCUACCAGCUGGGAGGGAGGCCUCAGGAGGAACUAACCUGUGAACACUUUGGUCUUGGCCUUCUAUCUUUCAGAACUGUGAGAAAAUAAAUUUGUUGUUUACACCACCCACU
rnacentral:lncRNA from 10 species